rnacentral:rRNA from 1 species
AGCAGCCGCGGUAAUUCCAGCUCCAAUAGCGUAUAUUAAAGUUGUUGCAGUUAAAAAGCUCGUAGUUGAAUUUCGGGGUCAGCAAGUUGGUCGUGCCACUGGUAUGUACUGGCUUUGCUGAUUCCUCCUUCUUGUAGAACCGUAAUGCCAUUAAGUUGGUGUUGCGGGAAAACAGGACUGUUACUUUGAAAAAAUUAGAGUGUUUAAAGCAGGCUAACGCUUGAAUACAUUAGCAUGGAAUAAUGAAAUAGGACGACGAUCCUAUUUUGUUGGUUUCUAGGAUUGACGUAAUGAUUAAUAGGGAUAGUCGGGGGCGUCAGUAUUCAGCUGUCAGAGGUGAAAUUCUUGGAUUUGCUGAAGACUAACUACUGCGAAAGCAUUCGCCAAGGAUGUUUUCAUUAAUCAGGGAACGAAAGUUAGGGGAUCGAAGACGAUCAGAUACCGUCGUAGUCUUAACCAUAAACUAUGCCGACUAGGGAUCGGAUGAUGUUAAUUUUUUAAUGACUCA